UACAGAGGGUGCGAGCGUUGUUCGGAAUUAUUGGGCGUAAAGCGCUUGUAGGCGGCUUGUUAAGUUCCGUGUGAAAUCCCCAGGCUUAACCUGGGAAGUGCGCGGAAAACUGGCGAGCUUGAAUGCCGGAGAGGGUCGCGGAAUUCCCGGUGUAGAGGUGAAAUUCGUAGAUAUCGGGAGGAACACCAGUGGCGAAGGCGGCGACCUGGACGGACAGUU
rnacentral:rRNA from 1 species